CCAGCAGCCAGAGUACUACUUUCUCCAUCCCAGCUGCUUCACUUCCUCCUCCUCCACUGCUCCAUCCCCCAUAACCACUGUUGAGGAAGACCUAGAUCUGGCUUCCGAGUGUUGACACGACGACGAGAUCAUCUGCGCUCCCGCGGAUAGUGCUCAAGGGCAUUGAGCAUGGAACCGCCGGAUCGUCCACGCAAGAGGAAUCUGCCAUGUGUGCAAGGUGAAGGCGAUGGAAAGAAGAAAAAGCCAAGAUCCGUCGGACCCAGUGAAGGAUCCAUCGAUGGAGCCCGUGCUCGAGGCAAGGGCACUUCUCCAGCCACCCCCAAUGCCUCGGGAGGAGCUGCUGCCGUUGGGGAGGUGCCGAACGACGCUACCAGGAAAAGGAGGGGAGAGCUGGUCAAUGACAACAACCAAAGGUCGUCGAGACGGCGUGUAUCUCGGCGUACGCUUGUGUUGGUUCAUGGGUAUCCACAUCAGGCCAGUCAAGUAAUACCAUUUGUGCCGCCGGGCCUACUAGCCGAAUCGACAGUACUCCAUGGUAGAGUUGUAAGGUGUACUUGGAGCUGUCAGCAUGUCCUCUGACUAGGGUUCAGUCGCUACCCACUAGUGCAUAGAACUAGCAUGGCCAGCUUGUUGACUGCUGCAUGGACGGGGGAGGCUGAUAGAAGGUUCUAUGCAUGGCUACUAAGUAGGUUUAGGUGGCAAGACAUGAGAUUCACUUUCCCUGAUGGCCAGCAUAGAUAUUUCACUCCAAGAUCCAUUGUUAGAACAUUGGGUCUGAGUAACAGUGGCCGCCAAGUCAGUAUGAUAAAGUUGCCUCCAAAACAUAGGCAGAAUUUGGCACUCCGUAUUAGAACCAUCCUAGGGAUAGAGACUAAGAAGCGUGCCAGGGAUGGGGGGUUGACAAUUCGCGCCGUAAGCGACGCUAUCAACAGAAUGAUUGCUUCAGGAGAUCUCCGUUAUAGAGACAGAGCUUUUGAGAUGGCUUUCUCACUGUUAGCGGCUGAUACAUGUGUUGGCCCUAAGCAGUCCUACACUUUGAUACCUUGGGAGAUGUUUGCUUGUGUGCUGUGCGCUGAGGGGACUGGUGAGUACGAUCUAGCAGAAUGGGCAUUUGAGAUCAUCAGAGCAGCUGUGAAAAAACUACAAAAAGAUUUGGUGGCUGGGGUGAGAACUCUGAUUGUUGGCGGUAGCCAUUUGGCACUCAUUCCGUGGUUCUUCGACUGGAUGAACUUCGGUGCAGAUAAUGUGGAGCCGCACACUGUCCCCCACAUCAGCGUUUACACCGGGGAGAUAUGCAGGAGGCUGAUAUAUCUCACAAGGGAAUACCCCUCUGUUUUUAGUGUAAGACCAGACCAAGUCUUAUGAUGAGUUCAACCCAUUAGAUGAUGUGUGGCAUGGGGUGGUGGGCGAGCCUGGUGGGAUCCUGCGACAUCCAAGUAAAAAGAAACAAGCCUCAACUGGAAGCGCUGCGGGCAGUUCAGGGUAUCAUUGCAGCAAACCAACAGGCUGCCAUGGAUUGUUCCAUAAAGGAAGGCGAUGAGGACCCCAGGGUUGAAUGCGAGGACGAUGAGAAGCGCAGGGAACGCACAGCUGCUAAAGGUAAAUGGGCAGCAAAAGAGAGUUCAGAAAGCUCAAGCAGCGACAGUGAUGACGAACCAAUCGGCCCUAGUGUCCGACUAGGCAGAAUGUUGGAACGAGCUGACAUACGAGGAAAAAACAUUGAUCCACCAAAUCCCAAUGCCAGCUUAAGAAUCAGCAAUGAUGUCUGGAAUGCCCGCGUUACAGGCAAGUAUUGACAAACAAAAUUGCAUUUACCAUUAUCAUUUCCGAAAAGAAGUUGUGAUAUGGAGCUUCAACAUGAUGGUAUUACCAUGCAAGCCCGCGUAGCAUGAACCGCAUGCGGGCACGUCUGCAGCCUAGAAUUCGUGAUCAAGAUGCUGGGGGGAGUGUAGCAAGGGGAACUGCUAGAGAUCCAUCUAUGCUACGUAGCAGGGGAGAGACCCUGAGAGCAGAGCUGACAGAACUUGAGGCCCAGGCGAAAGCAUACCUAGAAUAUGCGCAAAUCCAUGGAAUUUUCCCGCAUAGGGAAGGAACUUCUAAUGAUGAUCCAGUGAUUGUUGACGAGGAGAGACGUGAGCGUCUAAGGUCCUUAUCUGCGGCUGCACUUGCUAUUGUGGAGCAAGCUAUGGAUAAUCCAGAAGUUUUCGAAGGCAUAUUUGAUCAAGCUAGAAGACUUCCUUCAAAUGUUGGAGCUGACGGAGGCGCCAAAGACAAACAUGCAUUUGGCAACAGCAGAUCCAAUGGUAACAACCAAGAACAGAUACACUGGGCAGAACUAGAGAGGGACAGCCAAGAUGACCAACAUGAAAAUGAAGGUGAAGCUGCAUGGGAUGUACUAACUGACGGCGAAGUUAGGGACAAGAAAUAGAGGGAGCUACUGAAUGCAAGCCAAUAGGCGGCUGCAAACCUGUCUCCACUCGCCGCCAACGGUGAGCGUAUGGUCAGCAGGGGACAGGACUCCUUGCGUCGUAACGAGGAUCUAGAUGAUGAGUUCUUUGGGGGUGCAUCAUUGGCAGGUACUGACUAUUCUGGUGAAGAAGAUGAGUCAACGGUAGCAUCGCAAGUCCCAAUCGACUACAUGGACGAAGCUGAAGCAUUGAAUGGUGAAACAAAUAUGCCGGGAUUGAUUAACUUAAAUGAUUUGCUAGCUGCCCUGAACACAUGCGUCUGGUGGAUCGCGUGGAUAGGAGCAAUACUUGUGGUUGGUAGCGCAAGGGCAGGAGAUGCUGAUGAUGAAGACCCCCCCCCCAUCAGCGGCCCUAUAUUGCUGGGUUGGCACGGUGUUCUAGAUGCACCAGACGGUCCAACAGAUAUGGGAGAGCAGCGUUCCAGGCAGCGUCGAAGGGCCCGUCCACAUGGAUUAGAUGUUCCAACAACAUGUCGGCCUGGUCCUUCCUUCCAACAUGACAACGGAGAUUCGGAUGAUGGUGAAGCUCGUAGACAUGGACUGCAAUCUGUGAAUGAUGGGUCAGCCACAUGCUUACAGCAAGCAGUGAUCACGUAUCUUCAUGACUGUGAUGCUGCCAAAAAUGGUAAAACACACAUAGUAGCUGCAGACAUGACCGAUACAGACGAAAUGGGUGCAGCAGUGGACCAAGUCGCUCGAGCAGCAAAUGUGGUGGUUGAGCAAACCAGAACCAAUGAAAAUACGGCUCGUCCAACUGUGCUAGAUGUGCAAACAUACUGCAAUCCUGGUCCUUCUUUCCGGCGUCACGAAGCAAGUACUUUAACAUGAAUGUUUGUACAACUGUAUAUCUUGGUAAACCUUUUGUACCCACUGAGAAAAAUAUGUGUGCUGCAGAUGGCGCCGACGGUGAGGCUCGUGCACAGGGUUUUGCUUUAAACGGGACUGGCUCACUGACUAACUUCUGACAAGUUGUCCUCACUUAUCUGAAAAAAAUGUGGGAUUAAGCACACUGUGACACACGACAGCAAGAGACAACAUGAAUCAGCAGGGACUGGUGUGGUAGGUGAGAAAACAUCUUCAAGGAGGGAUUGGGGGGAUAAGUACCCGCCGUCAAUUGGGUUGAACCAUUCCCAUCCCUAUCCUGAAGCAAUUUCAAGGUUCAAUGCUAACAUGACUGCCUGUGAGGGUGGGAUUUUAAAGAAGAAAUGGGUUAAGCACUUCCAUCCAAUUUUGGCGAUCGCGUCAGGACAAGACAUCAAAGAUGAGUUGACACCAGGGGGAGGUGACCAUGAAUGUUUGGAGGUGUAUUCAACACAUGCUACGUGAAAAGGAUAAUGGAAUAUACGGCGAGUGGCUCGACAGGUUCAGGGGGCUAUUCGACCCACGCUUCGUUGGAUGACGGCGAAAUGGACUGGGAUUACAUAGAAACUAUGAUGAAUUCAGAAGUAAUUGGAUAUAGGAUUGAUUGGCUGAAGAAGUUUUGGUUCCCAGUUGAUUUUAUGGACUGCUGGUCAGUGUACCUUCUGGACAAGGAUGAAAAGACGGUGAUCGUGCUUGACCCAACCGAGACCGAUGUCAUGGAUGAGAUGAAAAUUAAACACGAGAGCCAUGCAAAGAAGUUCCAGCGAAGGUUCUGCUCUCUAUUCAACAACUAUUUCGGCAACGGGUUGGUUGAAACAGAUGGUUGGAAAUUCCUCUACCCAUUGGUGGCGCAGCAUGAACCGUGCAGUAGGGAAGACAGCGGAGUGUACAUCACACACUACUACACAGACUUCACCGGGUUGUACCUCCGUUCAACACUGAGCCAGGACCAGAUUGAUGGUUUGCGUGCAAAGCUCGCCUAUGAAAUUGUGACCAUGAAGGGGAACAAGGGAGACGUUCCGGAGUUCGCAUACGACAUGAUCAUAGAUUGAUGGCCUGAAGAUGAGCAUGCAAGUAGGGCCCUGGGGAGACCGACUCCAGGCUCGGCAGAUCUUUUGUCUAUCCUCGUGGUAUUAGUAGUUGCGUAGCUGAAGGACUAAGGUUUCAUUUUGGAUCGCUCGAAAAACCACUAAGGCGCAAAAUAGUAGUUUUAACCAGCGAUGUAACCCCUAAGUAUGACCUUAAGACCUAUAAGCUUGUGUCUGACAGAAGUGCGAACGACUGCUUGUCCUGGGCAAGUGAAAACUUAUCACUAUCACUU